rnacentral:rRNA from 1 species
GCACGGGUGAGUACACGUGACUAACCUACCCUGGAGUGGGGGAUAACUGAGGGAAACCUUAGCUAAUACCGCAUAAUACCUAUGGGUCAAAGGAGCAAUUCGCUUUGGGAGGGGGUCGCGGCCGAUUAGUUAGUUGGCGGGGUAAUGGCCCACCAAGACUGUGAUCGGUAUCCGGCCUGAGAGGGCGCACGGACACACUGGAACCUGAAACACGGUCCAGACUCCUACGGGAGGCAAGCAGUGGGGAAUUUUGCGCAAUGGGGGAAACCCUGACGCAGCAACGCCGCGUGGAGGAUGAAGUCCUUCGGGACGUAAACUCCUUUCGAUCGGGACGAUAUGACGGUACCGGAAGAAGAAGCCCCGGCUAACUUCGUGCCAGCAGCCGCGGUAAUACGAGGGGGGCGAGCGUUGUUCGGAAUUAUUGGGCGUAAAGGGUGCGU